rnacentral:lncRNA from 1 species
GGGUCAACAACAAGAAGAUUGAAAACACAUAAAAGACGAACUAAUAAUCUAAGUAACAAUGGUCUAUGGAGCUAGAAAGUGAGGCACUAUCAGCGCAGCAAAAAUAGAGCUCCUACCACUCUCCAUUGUCCAUCUUAAUUGAUCUAGAUACUCCUCCGUUCAACAAAGCUAGUUCCAUUUUGACUUUGAUCCUACUUAUUUUGUGGAAUCAUAAAA